UAGCCUACUAUCUGCUCGCGGGCUGAAAGUGAUACGAUCUACGUACAAAAACACUGAUUGUUUCUUCUAAACGCGAAAGGACCCAUGCCUCUCAACACCGCGAAAGCAUCAAAAUCUCCUAGAUAUGUAGCCUACUUACCAGCACGAAUUAGAUCAUCCCACCUGUUUCCAAUGCAGCAUAAUUAAUUUUUUUUUUUUUUCUUCAGCUUAGUAAGUAAAUUCGAAACUGGAAAUAUCUCAGUAUAAGAGACCCGAAUAAAAUUAUAAAGUGCGUUGAACAAAACAAGGGAACUAACACUCCAUGAGCAUGCGUUUUAUGUUUGAUUAAAGUUAAGAUAGUGUGAUAUGUUUAACUGGUUUAGAUGGAUUAGUUGUUGUUUUUUUGCAGCGUGUGUUUCUCCCUCAGGGGAACACGUGUUGCAGCCAAAGGAGAGCUGCGGGGCCUCCCUCGUGGGAAACUGAUGUAAUGUGAUGGAGUGUGGUUAGAGCUAACGCACUUUUAAUACUUGACAUCCAUGCUUAAAGAUGAUUAUAAAUCACAAUACAACUGGUGAAGUGGGAGGUAUGGAGGUGGGGGUGCAUUUCCCUCCUAUUUCUUGUGUGAGUGAGCGCCUCCAUUGCUGUGUGAUAAGAUAAAGGCUUAGCAUGUGAAUGAGAGGAGUCCCCACUAGCUGCUCAUUCACCUCAAGGUUCCUGUCAUAAAGUGAUUAAAGGCUCUUUGCUGUCUACUCAUC